rnacentral:rRNA from 1 species
UACGUAGGUGGCAAGCGUUGUCCGGAUUUAUUGGGUUUAAAGGGUGCGUAGGCGGUCCUAUAAGUCAGUGGUGAAAUACGGCAGCUCAACUGUCGAGGUGCCAUUGAUACUGUAGGACUAGAGUACUGUUGAGGUAGGCGGAAUGGACGGUGUAGCGGUGAAAUGCUUAGAUAUCGUCCAGAACACCGAUAGCGAAGGCAGCUUACUAAAGAGUAACUGACGCUGAGGCACGAAAGCGUGGGGAGCAAACAGG